GCUGGAACAAACCUCCUUGAGCAGAAAUGGUUAAAGAAACAGGUGGAAGUUUUUUGCAUUUCCUGUCGAUGUGAAGUGAGUCACCACCUGAAUUCACGGCUGGGAGGUCAUCGCUCCUUCUUCUUAAUCGCCCACGUUAACUCUCAGCAACGUGGAAGAAAAAGAAACAUGAGCAAACCCCCAUCAAAACCAGAGCGUUUCCAAACCCAGCCUGCGGAGAAGAGGCCAGGGGCUUCAUUAGAGAGAUCUGGAGGCCGACCUAUCAGCCUGGGGGCACACGGGAGGGGGGUUCUAUAUCAAAUCCAGCGCCCGCCUCUCCACUGGAGACGGGCCGGGGCUCCCCUGGGCUCCCCGCGACCAACCUCCUGCUUCUGUGGAUGGGCCAGAAAAAUCAACGGCGUUCCCCUUUGAACAACCUCCUCCUCCCUCCUCCUCUUCUUCCUGCUGCUCUGUCUCUCCUUCACGCUCUCUCUCCUUCUCCCCUCGCUCCCUUUCUCUGUGGACCUAAUGAAUGAUUCAUUUAACCCCUCCACCACCUCCAACACCACCCAACUCCUCAACCGCCCGUCUUCCCCUACUUAACACUCCAUUUUCACUCUGUUCUCCUUUCUGAUUGCAAGUUUAUCGACUUUAACUUAAUGUAUAGAAUAAAAAAGAGAAGUAGCAGCUUGUGCGGCGUUAAAGUGGUGUGAAAUAAAAUCAGAGGAAACAACAAAGGGAGGAACAAA